UACGUAGGGUGCGAGCGUUGUCCGGAAUUACUGGGCGUAAAGAGCUUGUAGGCGGUUUGUCGCGUCUUCUGUGAAAACUUGGGGCUCAACCUUAAGCUUGCAGGGGAUACGGGCAGACUAGAGUACUUCAGGGGAGACUGGAAUUCCUGGUGUAGCGGUGAAAUGCGCAGAUAUCAGGAGGAACACCGGUGGCGAAGGCGGGUCUCUGGGAAGUAACUGACGCUGAGAAGCGAAAGCGUGGGUAGCGAACAGG
rnacentral:rRNA from 2 species